UACGUAGGGGGCGAGCGUUGUCCGGAAUUAUUGGGCGUAAAGAGCGUGUAGGCGGUUCGGUAAGUCUGCCGUGAAAACCUGGGGCUCAACCCCGGGCGUGCGGUGGAUACUGCCGGGCUAGAGGGUGGUAGAGGCGAGUGGAAUUCCCGGUGUAGCGGUGAAAUGCGCAGAUAUCAGGAGGAACACCAAUGGCGAAGGCAGCUCGCUGGGACGGUACUGACGCUGAGACGCGAAAGCGUGGGGAGCAAACAGG
rnacentral:rRNA from 1 species